CGAGGAGAGCGACAUUGAGAACCACCUCAUUAGCGGACACAAUAUUGUGCAGCCCACAGAUAUCGAGGAAAAUCGAACUAUGCUCUUCACGAUUGGCCAGUCUGAAGUUUACCUCAUCAGUCCUGACACCAAAAAAAUAGCAUUGGAGAAAAAUUUUAAGGAGAUAUCCUUUUGCUCUCAGGGCAUCAGACACGUGGACCACUUUGGGUUUAUCUGUCGGGAGUCUUCCGGAGGUGGCGGCUUUCAUUUUGUCUGUUACGUGUUUCAGUGCACAAAUGAGGCUCUGGUGAGAGAGGACAAGCAAUUCUUACCUUGGAACCUUCUUUAUAAGGAAUUUUAGCUCCACUGAUUUUUCUGUCCUUAGGGAAAACCAGAUAGUCAUUGACAUAUCAUUAUUUGUCUUUAGUUAUUUACUUAUGACUAUUUAGUAAGCAGCUAAUACACAUCUGAAGCUU
rnacentral:sRNA from 1 species